UUAAGUUGCUCCCCUCCCCCAACCCUUGCCAGCAAUUCCCAGAUAUCCCCUUACCUUGUGCUUUUCCCCCUAGUACUGACGUUCUUAUAAACAAGCUACGUACUGUCUGUUCCCCCACUACAAGGAAAGCUCCACGAGAAUAGAAUGUCUUUUUCCUUGCUGUUUUCCCAGUAUCUGGGCAACGAAUUAAGGAACCUGUGAGUAGGGGUCAAGAUCUCCUUUCACAAAGAAACACCUGGCCUCAGGUGGGUAAAGGGCCUUGUUCACAGCCGGUGGUGGGCGGAGCCGGAGUGUGAGCAUCGCCCACCAUUCCACAAUGCUCCCUGCCUCCCCACGUACCCAGAACCAGGAGGCUGCUGGGUGGCCGAGAGCCUUUACUUUGGUGGCUAAAGGUGGGACAUCAGUGACUAAAGCUCUGACAUUGAAGUCCAGGCGUGUGCCCACGCCCAGCGGCAGCUGCAUGGUGUGCCACAUUGUGGACAGAAAGGACGCAAGAACAACCGAGAAAGUGCACCAUUGAAAGCAUGAUUGAAACUCAUUUUUUUGACCUACAUGAGAUCAUGGAACACUUAGCUGUUUUAUAAAGGAGCACUUCCCAGACGUCAGUGUGUGACCAUCUGCUCUUCUCUGCCUCAGAGGGUUCAUAUGGCCACAGAGCUUCGACACGCAACUCGAUACCAACGACUCUCAAGCUAAAAGCCAGAUUAGCUUGGUCAUUUCAUGACCACUUUUAUUCAGGUUUCUCCAGUUUCCAACAGGAAUUUUCUACUGGAUGUCCUCUUGUCACUUCAAACUCAAUGUAUACUAAAGCUGCUCUCUGUACUCUCCUACUGUCCCCCAAUAUCCAUUCACCUCUUCUCUCACACAAAUAGAUCUUCUAUUUUUCGCUUGGCAUAUGAAAUCUUGGAAUAAAAAUUUAGAGUGUGUCCAACUUCUGAGAAAUUUCCUUAAAGAGCAGUCCUUCGUAUUAAUCUCUUUCUUCUUCCUUCUAGCUGGAAUGAGGACAAAAUGGUGGCACUCUAGUACCAUCUUGGACUACGUGGAUGAGAGCCCCACCGUAGGGCUGGUGGAAUAGAAAGCUAGAAGGAGCCUGAUGAUUGUGUGAAACAUCCCUAGAUAUAGAAUACCUCCAACUUUUACAUGAGAAAAUAAA